GAUGAACGCUGGCGGCGUGCCUAAUACAUGCAAGUCGAGCGAACGGACGAGAAGCUUGCUUCUCUGAUGUUAGCGGCGGGCGGGUGAGUAACACGUGGAUAACCUACCUAUAAGACUGGGAUAACUUCGGGAAACCGGAGCUAAUACCGGAUAAUAUUUUGAACCGCAUGGUUCAAAAGUGAAAGACGGUCUUGCUGUCACUUAUAGAUGGAUCCGCGCUGCAUUAGCUAGUUGGUAAGGUAACGGCUUACCAAGGCGACGAUGCAUAGCCGACCUGAGAGGGUGAUCGGCCACACUGGAACUGAGACACGGUCCAGACUCCUACGGGAGGCAGCAGUAGGGAAUCUUCCGCAAUGGGCGAAAGCCUGACGGAGCAACGCCGCGUGAGUGAUGAAGGUCUUCGGAUCGUAAAACUCUGUUAUUAGGGAAGAACAAAUGUGUAAGUAACUGUGCACAUCUUGACGGUACCUAAUCAGAAAGCCACGGCUAACUACGUG
rnacentral:rRNA from 1 species